GCAAGGCCACCUGAUGGAUGGCCUUCUAUUGCUCCACCAGUCUUUCCAGCAUCAGGUAUGUGGAGUUCCACUGCAUCUCUACAUCCUGCAUGAUUUUGUGCUG